UGACCUCGGAUCAGGUAGGGAUACCCGCUGAACUUAAGCAUAUCAAUAG
rnacentral:rRNA from 2 species